GACGAACGCUGGCGGCGUGCUUAACACAUGCAAGUCGAACGGUAAGGCCCUUCGGGGUACACGAGUGGCGAACGGGUGAGUAACACGUGGGUGAUCUGCCCUGCACUUCGGGAUAAGCCUGGGAAACUGGGUCUAAUACCGGAUAGGACCACUGCCUGCAUGGGUGGUGGUGGAAAGCUUUUGCGGUGUGGGAUGGGCCCGCGGCCUAUCAGCUUGUUGGUGGGGUGAGGGCCUACCAAGGCGACGACGGGUAGCCGGCCUGAGAGGGUGACCGGACAGACUGGGGCUGAGAUACGGCCCAGACUCCUACGGGAGGCAGCAGGGGGGAAUAUUGCACAAUGGGCGCAAGCCUGAUGCAGCGACGCCGCGGGAGGGAUGACGGCCUGCGGGUUGUAAACCUCUUUCAGCACCGACGAAGCGCAAGUGACGGUAGGUGCAGAAGAAGGACCGGCCAACUACGUGCCAGCCGCCGCCGUAA
rnacentral:rRNA from 1 species